rnacentral:rRNA from 1 species
GAUGAACGCUGACAGAAUGCUUAACACAUGCAAGUCGACUUGAAGCAACUUCGGUUGUGGAAAGUGGCGGACGGGUGAGUAACGCGUAAAGAACUUGCCCUUCAGUCUGGGACAACCAUUGGAAACGAUGGCUAAUACCGGAUAUUAUGGAACUCUCGCAUGGGAGGAUCAUGAAAGCUAUAUGCGCUGAAGGAGAGCUUUGCGUUCCAUUAGCUAGUUGGUGAGGUAACGGCUCACCAAGGCGACGAUGGAUAGCCGGCCUGAGAGGGUGAUCGGCCACAAGGGGACUGAGACACGGCCCUUACUCCUACGGGAGGCAGCAGUGGGGAAUAUUGGACAAUGGACCAAAAGUCUGAUCCAGCAAUUCUGUGUGCACGAUGAAGGUUUUCGGAUCGUAAAGUGCUUUCAGUUGGGAAGAAGAAAGUGACGGUACCAACAGAAGAAGCGACGGCUAAAUACGUGCCAGCAGCCGCGGUAAUACGUAUGUCGCAAGCGUUAUCCGGAUUUAUUGGGCGUAAAGCGCGUCUAGGCGGAUUCAUAAGUCUGAUGUUAAAAUGCGGGGCUCAACUCCGUAUUGCGUUGGAAACUGUGAAUCUAGAGUAUCAGAGAGGUGGGCGGAACUACAAGUGUAGAGGUGAAAUUCGUAGAUAUUUGUAGGAAUGCCGAUGGAGAAGUCAGCUCACUGGAUGAAUACUGACGCUAAAGCGCGAAAGCGUGGGUAGCAAACAGG